rnacentral:rRNA from 1 species
GACGUAGGGCGCGAGCGUUGUCCGGAUUUAUUGGGCGUAAAGAGCUCGUAGGCGGUUUGUUGCGUCGGCUGUGAAAUCCCGAGGCUCAACCUCGGGUCUGCAGUCGAUACGGGCAAACUAGAGUAUUGCAGGGGAGACUGGAAUUCCUGGUGUAGCGGUGAAAUGCGCAGAUAUCAGGAGGAACACCGGUGGCGAAGGCGGAUCUCUGGGCCAUUACUGACGCUGAGGAGCGAAAGCGUGGGGAGCGAACAGG